AGCUGAGGUUCUAGAUGACAGGGUGAGCUGAGGUUCUAGAUGACAGGGUGAAGCAUGGCCCCCAGGUAGGACCAGACAGGUGAACGAACCGGAGGGGACCACAGCGGUGUGGGCCCUGUGUACAAUAUGAGAAGGGGCUAGAAGACCAGCUGUGCGGAGAGGAAUAGGUCAAGGUUACUGAACGGAUGGUACAGCCACGGUUUUGGGAGUCCUUUGGAGUGGCCAUGGAUGGUUCGUGUGAUUUGUCGUCUUUCUUCCGUGGUUGGGCAGGGUUGGCCGGCUAAUCCCAGGAAUCUGUUGACCCUACCAGUAGUAGCAUUUCGGGCACAAGCCGCCACUCUUGACUUCUGCGUGGCUGAUGGCAAUCCAAACUCAAGUCUUCAAGCCUGCGCAGCAAGCUCCUUACCAGCUGAGCCAAUGCCCCAGCCCUGGAACCCGACAUCUUCCUCAUGGCUAAUGUGCUGGCCUUUUUGCUGUUGGAAAGAAGGCUGACUUCCUGGUCACUAGGUGGUGCUGUUCAAGGCCCUGCCCAACGCAGCACCCACCCAGCAAAAACUAAACAGUGGAGCGAUCGGUAAGGGCACCAGAGAAGAGAGGAGCAGGCCACAGGAGAAAGGCGUUAGCUUGGUAUUUUGCCCUCUUCUCUGUAAUGGUCAAGGUCUGCCUGCCCAUAAUAAAAACCACUGAACUUUACCCUUUCAGUGGGUGAGUUCUUUAUGGUCUGUGAAAUACACCUCAAUAAAACUGUAAAAAAAAAAAAAAAUCUGCCCUAUCAGAAGAGUAAAGGGGAACACAUCAGAGCCUGCUGGGUUGACAUGGAUCCUAGAGGGCUGCCAGCCAGAGGGUGCUGUAACCUCAUAUGAAAGGUCCCUCAAAACCCAUGUGUUGGAGACUUGAUCCUUAGCAAGUUGCUGCUGGAUGGUGGCAGCCUUCAAGAGGCAGAGCCAGUGGGACUUCAUAACAUGAAUUGCUAAAUGGUCUUAUUAAUAAAAAAAAAAGAAAAAAGAAAAAAAAAA